GAGGGGCCUGCUGAUAGGCUGCGAAGGCGAUAGGCGUCUCAGACUUGAAGACGCCUCUCCAGCAGAACUCCCUCAUUGGUCGGCAAGAGAAAACAAAGCUGGGCUCUGAUUGGUGACAGCUCUGUAGCUCCUCCUCAUACCCGCAGUCCCCGCAAGUUCCACCCCUGCCCGCCCGGUUCGCUCGCCCUUGGUUCCCACUCCCAGGUGGCUGCAGACUGGAGUGUGUUUCAUGGACGAGCAACCUCCCUGAGGAGAACCCCGGAUACGCAGGUUCAUUCGCCAGAUGCGAGUUUUCUUAAGCCGCUGCGAUUCUCUGAUUUCAGUAUGAACUUGGUGAAUAACGUAAUCUUUAACUUCCUUUGGAUUCAGACAAGUCUCCUAGGUUUAAAAAUGCUGCAUAAGAUUGAGAGGGAUAUUGUUAUGCACGAAAAAAGACAUAAGGUGUUUUCACCUUUGGCGACACUGUAGGUGACUUUUUCUUAUUACCUUUUUGUGUUCCAUAUUGAACAUGUACUACAUGAUUAGAAAAAAAAAUUCUUAAAUAGAAAAAUGAGUAGGGUGCGGAGAAUGGUAAAGACAAACUUUAAGGAAAUCCAGAGAACUGAUUCUUUCACAAUAGAAGAAAAUACAGUAAACAUGCUUAAUAUCUGAGGGCUACCCCGAAAAAACAUGAACUGGUAUCAGCGCCCUUCAGCUCUCUUAAAGAACUUUACAUAUGUGACCGAGGUGCCCCCAUACUCCUUCCUAUCAUGUAACCAACACAUAAUGUGGACAGCACUACACUGCAAACAGAAUUACAGGAAGACUCUUAUAGGAAGAAUUAGAAUCCAAAGUACACAAUCAAUAAAGCUUUAGAAAAAGGGGUAGUAAAAAGCAGAAGACAAAAAAAAAUCAGGUAAUAUAAAUUGGAAAGCUCAGCUGAUGGAGGGAAUCAUCAGAAAAAAAAUAAUGUGACAACACUUCAAGAUGUGAUAGAGACUUUGAAUGGAAAGCUGAAGGGAGAGGAAGGGGAUUGAGAUAAGGAUCAAUGACCUGCAGUUAAUAUGAGCUCUCAGAACACAUCCCCCAGAACUGGUGUCAGCCUAGAAGGCAAGAAGCAUUUCUCACCUAGGGACCACUCUCACUUAACUCUCUCUAGCUGCCUUAACAUUCUGUUUGUUCUUGUCAUUCUCGCAAAGUUCUAAAACAGGCUAUUUGAAAUUAAGCACUUCCCCCCAGCAACUCCGUGAAUUACGUAAUAGUGAAAAAUGGAGAUAGACAAAAAGCAAACCUGAGGAAGGAAAGGAAUGUUAAGGUAAACAUAAACUUAAAGAGAAGUAAGGGCAAAACACCUGAUAGAAAGAAGACAAGAAAUUCUUUUUUCUCUCUUACUUCCUGAGAAUAAAGUAAAGGUCUUUGGAGGACAGAAUAACCUUAUUGCCUAACAAAAAGAGUUUUUACCAAACCUUUCUAAUAAUAACUGUAAUUCUAAACUGUAGUCUAAAAAUACGUGUCCUAAAGUAAGUACUUUGAGCAAAUAGUUUUGAGAUCUAAUAUUUUUACAUUGUGUAAGGAAAAGAAGAGGAACUUAGCCUAGUAUGAACAAACUGUAGGGAAUACCCUUCAAAAGUUUCUUCUACAAUAACACCUGAAAUUCCAUCACUAACAUUCUUUCACUGGGAUUAAAUAAUGUAUGUCUAAGAUUAUUCUUUUAUUCAUUUACUCAUCAAACGUAAUCAAUAUUAAUCAUCAAAUACUAGAUACUGCAAUGAACGAGGCUUUCUACUAAGCACUCAGAGUAUAGCCUUGAACAAGACAGACUUGCAGCUGUUUUUAUCAGAAGAUGGACAAUGAUCCAAUAAAAAGAUAAACUUCCAGACCGGGAUCAGGGCAAAGAAGAAAACAGUGACCAGAGGGAUGGGAGACACACUUAAUUUUGGGAAAGGAGAAAAAUGCUUUAAGGAGAAAUGAUCUAAGAGAAAUGCUCUAAGAUUUGAGGCACCACCUAAAUAAGAAAACACCAACUUAGCAAAACUCCAGGGCAGAUAAAAUAGCAAGAACAAAGGACUUGAAGUAGGAAGAAAAGUGAUGUAUAGCAGGAACAGAGAGAAAGCCAGCAUGGGUAUCAUGGUGCAUAAGGAGAGUGCUACUAGACAGGUUGGAGAAGGAGAGUCACCAGUAAAAUGAGCAUUCAUUCAUUAAGCCAAUCAUCAGGAAUGGAUCUAGGAAGAACCUACUGUUUACUAGAAAUAGGUUAGAUCUGUGGAUAUAACAAUGAAUAAGACAAGACUGGUGGAUCUAUAGAGAAACUAUUACUGCACAGGUGAUGGGGAAAUCAAGAGUACUAUGGGGCCAAGGAGACUGUCCUGCAGCAAAUGAGGAAUAAGCUGAAACAUCAGUAGGAGCCAUCCCAGAGAAAAGGGACAGGGUUCUAGAUCCAGAGAACAACAGAAGAGCAUUCAGCGCCUGCAAGGGAGCAGGGGAUCUAAUGCAAAGCCAUUGCAUAACCAGUCAACUUUCCCCACAUCACAAGAUUGCCUAGCCUGGAUGGCCCCAGAAUGUUGAAACAAAUGUCUAAUUAGUAACGACAUUCUGAAUGCUUGGGAGCUGAGCAAAAUAUGAGGAGAAGCAACCUGAUUUUUGUUUCAUAUUAUCAUCUCCUUUAUUCCAGCAACAAAAGACACUGAAAAUAGUAAAUGCCCACUUUCAACCAUGACAGCCCUUUUAGGAUAGUAACGGUGAGCAGUAUUAAUCCUAUUUGACCAGAACUAGGGCAGAAUUGAAGCCCCUGGAGUAGAGAUCUGUUCUAUUAGCCCCAGCCUUUCCGCCUGCUUCUUGGGAUGGCUAUCUUUACUUUAUCAGUUGAGCCUCCAGCAUUAGCAGAUACCUAUAAGGGAAGAGAUCCAGCCCUCACUAUGGAGGGCCAGAAAGAGAAAGCACCAGACAUUAGGAAAUGUCAAAGUAUCUCAGUACAUCCAGCUGAUUAGUGACAGAUAAGUCAAAAUUUGCAGCAACUAAAUAAAUCAAAAAGUAGAUUUUAAAA
rnacentral:lncRNA from 1 species